UAUUACAGCAAGUUCCUGAGUGGGAAGAAAAGAUGCACCAUAAAGAAUUCUGUGAAUUGUUCAGAGCAACAGCUGCCAUGACCAGAAUUCUGCUAUUUUCUGUGAUGCCAAAGCAGUUUUCAGCUCACAACCACACCUCUGCACAUGAGACCUCACUGCUGACAGUCCUGAGAUCUGUUUGGUGACCGUGACAAAGAAACUACUUUGAGUGAAGGGACUGACAGCUUGGAAUUUUCUUCAGCCUUUUUCUAAUGGUCAGGGCAUUUUUGCAAAUCUUGUGUCUAUAUAAAAAAUAUUCUCAGUGAAUUUCCUAUAAAAAGGCAACAUUUUGAACUGCAUUGAUUAAAAUUUUCAUGUCUUUCUCAGUUUAGCAAGACCUACCAUAUACCAGUAUUCUAGCACUUCCACUUUUGCUUAGAACUGUAACAGCUUAAUUCAGGUUUUUCAUUCUAUUCAAUGAAAUGAGGACACAAUUGUUAAUGGUCACUGUCAUAGUGCCUGACCUCUUCCUUCUGAACAGGCUUGUGCCACCGGGACUGAG